rnacentral:rRNA from 1 species
ACCUGCGGAAGGAUCAUUGUCGUGACCCUGACCAAAACAGACCGUGAACAUGUCAUCCAUGCCACCGAUUCAUGGGGCUUGCACCUAUGUCUCGGUCUAGGCCACCAACCUUCUUCCAGAGGGACGGGGGCCCAAAAGAACCCACGGCGCUGUAUGGCGUCAAGGAAAACUAAUAUUGCCUUGCCCGGGGUGACGACUGGCUUGCUGGACGUGCCCCGUGCUGCGAUGCUAUGUAAACUCACAUGACUCUCGGCAACGGAUAUCUCGGCUCUUGCAUCGAUGAAGAACGUAGCAAAAUGCGAUACCUGGUGUGAAUUGCAGAAUCCCGUGAACCAUCGAGUUUUUGAACGCAAGUUGCGCCCAAGGCCGUUUGGUCGAGGGCACGUCUGCCUGGGCGUCACGCCAAAAGACACUCCACACAAAUCCCGGUCUGGACGUGGUGUUUGGCCCCUCAAGCCGCAAGGUGUGGUAGGCCAAAGAUGGGGCUGCCGGCGGUGCCGAUCACAGCACAAGGUGGAUGACGCAAGUUGUUCUCGGUGUUAUGAUCUGGACCACUCCCGGUGAUGUUAUGGCCCUUUGGACCCUUGGUUUUGAGUGCAUGUUGCUCGAACCGCGACCCCAGGUCAGUCGGGACUACCCGCUGAAUUUAAGCAUAUCAAUAAGCGG